UGGCAUGGUAAACAUUUCGCAGAGGUGAAUGUGAGAGCAGGGAACGACAACUCUGCUUGGAGAUUGCCAAAACUGGUGUGAAACAAUACCUAAACGUCGGAUCACUUCUGCGCUCGUCGAUUACACAGUUAAGUCAAUAAUUUGAGAGGCAAUUACACAUUUAUUACAAAGGAACUUAAUUAAAAGGUACAUAGAACCGCCUCAUGUUGGGUGGACUUCAUUCAUCAAAUCGUUCAUCAAAUCCUCGUUGCUGUUUCCGGGUGAUUGUGGCUGAAGACUGUUUCCCGGCUGUGCGUACAUGUCGACGUGUGGACAAUUACGUCUGAAGUGGGAGAACUCUCCGCAUGCGAAACAUGGCCCGGGUACGGAAGCGGUGGCUGCGCUACCUGUAACUUGUCCGUACAGGCCCGAAAAAAGCCGCCCUCUUGUGCCGGAAAAUGGGCAGUUUCAUCGACUAAAUGAUGGGGUUCCCCAUGCCUUGUUUGAUGAAACAUUCUCACAGAGAACUUCCGGUCUUUUCGAUGACGUCAUCUUGCCGCGCGAUUUAGGAGCGCUUUCGUUUCAAAGCUCUGUUUUCCGCCUAGUAAAUUUUCGUCCUCGCUAUCGCUUGCUAUAAGCUUACUUUUAUACUGGCGUAAUGUUUUCCACCCACCGGAAGAAGAAUCCGCAAUUCUUAUGAACUUGUUUCGUUUAUGCAUUUAUCGUUCUAGAUCUGUCAAUUGUUCAAUGCAAUACUCGUGUUUCCCGUUUUCUAGCGCCCACAUUCACUGCUUGACAAUAUCUACUAUGUCAGUAUUAAACUCGACCUGCAUGUUACCUUGGAAUUUCCAAACAAUGUCUUUUUCGUUCUUCAAUGUUUUCACUUCUAAAGCAACGUUCAAUGAACUUCCUCUCACUUCUUCCUUUAACGAUAAAUAAUCGUUGCGCUGUUGCCGGAGCACAGCAAAAACUUCUGUCAGCUGAUUUUGAAUUGUCAGUGUCGAAUUUUCUUGCGCCAUUUCUCUGUCCGCCAUAAUCGGGUACGUGUGAACAGCAAAAUUCAAACCGGUCUUGUCGACCACCCAAAGCUGAAUGAUUUGCUAUCAAUUUACUUUUUUUUAAUCCCUUCGACAACGCCACCUAUCGGACUAUACUUUAUGUAAAGGGAAAUCAAUUUUCUUUUAAUUCGUUCACUCAAACGAAGGAAAUAAUAUUAUGAAAAUAUGUCAGCAAAUAUUUGCCUGAUUUAAAAGUAAAAAUCACUGACAGUCUGCACUUUUCCAUUAAGAUCAACUUCACUUCAAAUAAUAAUGUUAAAAUUGUGUUAUAAUUACAAAACUAAUGCAUCAUACAACAACUUCAAUACCUGAACUGCAUUUAAGUUUAAAUGAGACGAUAUGUCGUGCAAGUACGUGUUCAAAGACGCUUGUUUACAACUGCUCUUAUCUGUGACACAACCUUGGGUUGAUAACCUUUCGAUUACGUUAAGUUACAGUUUUAUCUGGCCAUGUAAUCGUCUGUGCAGGAAAGAAUGAGGGCAAUCGUUUCGACCUGGACAUAUUUUAUCAUAAUAAGAUAUACAUUUAUCUUGGGCGUUGUUCAUCAAUCGACAACAAACGAGCUAAAAGAGAGCGCUUACUGUGAAUGGUAUUGUACGAAGGAACAACAACAAUGGGACGGCACAUGUCCUGUAUAUGGGUCAUGUCGGUGGUAUUGUCAGGCAAAACGCAAAGACUGCAUCCAGGGUUCACGAUAUCAUUGUGCCAGAGAUUUACAUAACAAGGACUUAUUUAUUGAAACGUGCGCACCUGAAGUAUUUUGUUUGGCAGGAGAAGAACCUCAAAUAUCUUUACAUCAGAGUGGCAAAGCGAUUGUGUUUUGCCUGCCAUGUUACCGACAAAACAUGUACAAUGGUCGCCAUAACACAUCAUCGGCGGUUUUUAGUGAAUGUCCUACUAUAAAAACUAACUUGUGUGUGGAGACAGAGCACAAGGUUGACUGUGACAAAACUUCAUUUUGGGGCCUUACAAAAACUGACGGGUAUUGUCGGUGUGACGCAAGAAAUGGUUAUGCAGCGCAAUCAAAGGAAAUGUGUUUUUAUGAAAAUAAACGCUGCUUCAGGAAGAAAUGUCCUGAAGGCAACGUUCUUUCUUUGAAUUACACGUGUGUACAGGAAUGCCCCGUCGGAUUCGCACGACAAGAUGAAUCUGAUAUUUGCAACACACUGAAAAUGUACGUAUGUGCCUGUGUUGACGAUGGUCUUUUUAAAGUAUAGGCAUUAAGUA